UUUGCUGGGAGGAAAUGAGGCAGCCUUCCAAGAUGAAAUACGAAAAACCAGAAGUUGAUUAAGGUUAAGGAGUGAAGAAGAAAUCAAAAUAUUCUCAGAUGAAGAAAAGCAGAGAAUUUGUCAUCAGGAGACCUGCCCUAAAAGAAUGGCCCUAAUGGAAGUUCCUAAAAAAAGAGAAGACUCUGAAAAAAAAAAACAAAAAAAAAAACUUGAAGUAUUAUAAAAGUAUCAUAAAGAAAGAGGAGCAUAGUAAGCAAAAAUAUGGCUACUUGCCUUCAAAAGAAGGAGGAAGAGUGGGAGGAGGAAGAGCUGCAAGAGGUGCCGUGUCACCUCUGAAAGCACCACCCUGGAGGCCCCAUGAUUUAUAAGGACAGUAGUUAAUAGUUUCUGUCAUCAGAGAGGAAAGCAGAGGGAGAUUUUACACAGAGAAGAGGUGAUGUUAAGAUGGAGUAGAGAGAUAUUUGGAGAUCCUGGCCUUAAGGACUGGAGGGAUGCAACCAGAAGCCAAGGAAUACCAGUAUCCACUAGAAGCUGGAAGAGACAAGGAAAUUAUUCCUAGGUCCCCUAGGAACUCCAGGAUGAGUACAGCAUUGUUGACACCUUGAUUUUGACUCAGGAUACUGAUUUCAG